rnacentral:rRNA from 1 species
AGUGAACGCUGGCGGCGUGCUUAACACAUGCAAGUCGAACGAGAACGGAAUAUAGCUUGCUAUAUUUGUCAGCUAAGUGGCGCACGGGUGAGUAAUGUAUAGAUAACCUGCCCUUAAGAAAGGAAUAACAGUUGGAAACGACUGCUAAUGCCCUAUAUGCCUUUAAUACAUAAGUAUGCAAGGGAAACGCUUUAGUGCUUAAGGAUGGGUCUGUAUGGUAUCAGCUUGUUGGUGAGGUAAUGGCUCACCAAGGCUAUGACGCCUAACUGGUUUGAGAGGAUGAUCAGUCAAACUGGAACUGAGACACGGUCCAGACUCCUACGGGAGGCAGCAGUGGGGAAUACUGCACAAUGGACGAAAGUCUGAUGCAGCAACGCCGCGUGGAGGAUGACACAUUUCGGUGCGUAAACUCCUUUUAUAUAGGAAGAUAAUGACGGUACUAUAUGAAUAAGCACCGGCUAACUCCGUGCCAGCAGCCGCCGCCGUAA